rnacentral:tRNA from 1 species
GGGUAGAUGUCCGAGUGGUUGAAGGAGCACGCCUGGAACGCGUGUGUAGGGCAACUUACCGUGGGUUCGAAUCCCACUCUACCCG